AACAAUGGGGAUGAUUGGUUGGGCUAUAAUUAUAAAAAAUUUACUUUAGGAUUUAGUCUGUAGAAUUUUUUGAUUUAGCUUUAAGAAAUGUAACUUUAAAAUUUCUUAAAGCUAAAAAGAUGGGGCUUUAGAAAAUAAGAUUUUUACAACCAUUUUUUAUAUGUUUUUACUGUACCUUUAGUUUUUUUAUUGUAACUUUAAAAACUAAGAUAAAACAUGAUUGGUAUUAUUUAAGGUUGUAGAUGAAAAUUAAAGCUAAAGUCACUUUCUACGAUCCAACCAAUCACUCCCGAUAGCUAUUAAGAAUGAAAAGAGAUUUAAGGAGAACAUACAGUUUUCAGUUACAAAAAAAACAUAUAGUUUUUUUCUGUAAAUGAAGAAAUUUAAAGAGAACAUAUAGUUAAAUAAACAAUAUAUAUGACAUCUGAAUAAAUGUAGUAAGAGAAUACAUAAAAUAUUAUUUAAAAAACUACCAUAAUUGGAGUCGAAAUUUCAUAAUGUCAUUACUAAUACCAGUGAAUAAAAAAACCAUAAAACAAGUUUAUUAAAUUGUUUAUUAAAUUGCGGCCCUUAAAAAAGUUUAUUAAAUUGUGGCCUAAAACAUAUGUUUCUUCUGCAUUUGCAUUAUGUAACGACGUCUUCAAUCCAACACAAUUUUUUCUCCAAAACGGAUUAAAAAAUACUUCAAUUAUAUUCCACUUCAUAAUGGGAUUUAUUCUGUAAAUGAAGUAAUUUUUUUUUUGUUCAUUACUCUAUUAUAAAGUAAGAAAUAAAAUAGAAUUAGAGUAUUUUUACUUCAUAUUUACUUUUACUCUAUUUUAUAGAAAAAAAUGGAAAAUUACAUUAGAAAUGCUCUAAAGACGGACCUCGUCUCUUUGCAAACUAGAUAUUUGAGAUGGCUCUUGUUUUUCGUUUGUGUUGACUAUUCUCUUUGUUGAUUAUUCUUUCUUUUUGUUUCAUUCUGGCUAUAUUUUUAUUCCUUUUAGAUGCAAAUAAAUGCAUGUCUACGAUUAGUUCUUUGUAUGUUUUUCAUGCAAUUCUGAUUUAUUUAUUUUUAUGAGAAUAUGAUUAAUUACUUGGUCAAAUUAAAUGGUUAGGAUCUUUCAAUUAUAAAUUUUGCUUUGUUUCCAAAUACUGUAAGAUUUAAAUUAAAGUAAUAGAGAUUUGCUAUCCAUAGAACAGUUACAAAAUUAAUUGUAUUCUCUCUUUUUAGUCAUACAAAAUGAAUUGUAUUCAAGUCAAAGCAACAAAUGUAUUACAAUGACAAUUAAUGUUUGAUUUCAUUCAUCUCAUCAUGUACAUAUAUAAUAUAUAUAUAUACACGAAUUAUACAUAUCAAACAACAAACAUCAGUUUUAAUUUUGAAUUCCAAGUCUAAAUAACAAAAUUGUUUAAGAGAAUGGCACAAAAGGUGUGUAUGAUAAUGAUGACACUGAUAAUGAUCGGAUGUCAUCUAAAAGCAUGCAGUGGAAUGGAAAACAUGUCAAAGGAAGGCCAUCUCACAACAAUGGAAACAAUAAGGCCGGAUGAUGUUCCAAACCCAGUAUGCAUAAGGAACUGUAGUGUUACUAGUCACAGUAAAAAAGAGUUUCAAGAUUGUAUCACACAUUGCGGAUGAUCAGUUCUGAAUGUUCUAUGUCGAUGUAUUAAAGAUAUUUACAACUCUUUUUCAAUAAAUAAAAAUAAUAAUAAUGCAUUA